AUUAUUUAUCUGUGCUUCAUUAGAGUUUUAUUCCCUGUGGUUUUAUCUUAUUCUUUCCUUUGAAAUAUAUUCCUCUGUCUUUUCAUUUUGUUUAACUUUCUAUGUUCAUAUCAAUGCAAUUAGGUGAAGCAGUUAUCUGUAUGGAUCUUGAAGAUGUGUCCUUGUAUGGGUAAAUCCCUAUGAAGUCUGCAUGUACCUAGGGGAUUUGAUGGGAAAGCUGAUCUGAAGUGAGCACAGAUUGCAUCUUCUAGUGGAAUGUGCUGGCAGCUGCAGCCUUCCUGGGAGGGCCUCAGCCAUCAUUGUUAUGCAAAGGCUUACAGAAAGUUUGAUCCACCAUGAGAUACCACAUAACAACUGCAUCGGACCAACUGAUCAAUUCUACAGCAAAGAUAUUGUGGCAGAAAUACCUUUAUAUGAUACUGUGUUACAACUGAAAGAAUACUUGGGUCUUGGAACCAAGUGUGGAAAGACUGAGAACAUACACAAGGAGACAUAAGGAAGAAUGACCAAAGGACUAGAAUACUGGACCAGAUCUUUAAGUAAAAAAGGCCCAUAGGUUGGUAGAGAUGAAGACUGAAGGAAAUCCAAGUGUGAAUGGAACGUACAAAGUUAAGACUAAAUAAAAGUGCAGAUGCAGAGUUUAUUAAGCUCUGGAAAUGCUCAUUAAGAAUGUCAUCAUGAACAUGUGUCAGAUUCUAAUGUAGGAUGGCUCAAUUUUUAGAGGUAUGAGCAGAGGAGAUGGAGAAAAGCAACUGCAUUUUAGACAUCCUGGAGAGGACAGAUUUUGUAACGGCUUGACUAUGAAAAUGGAGAGACAAGGAAGAGUCUAGAACCAAUCCCAGAUUUCCAGUUCAGGCAAUGGAGGAAACAGCCAAGCUGGGGAACAUGGGAGGGACAGAUAUGGGGCAUGUCUGCUAUGAAGUGGGA
ensembl:lncRNA